CACUUAAGCAUCGCCCAUGGUCACUCAGCCCUUUGUCUUUGGACCGUGGUGUAACACCGUGGCAGCAGGAUCCUGUGGUAGAGGAGGCUGCUCACCUCAGCUACCUUGUAAAACCCCAACAUUGGGCCAGAGAGACAGCAGGUAAAGGAAUUUGCCCAAUGACCUGAGUUCGAUCUUCAGAACCCACAUGGAGGAAGGAGAGAAAACUGACUCCUGCAAGUUGUCCUCCGAUCUCCACAUGUGCACUGCCCCGCAUCACCUGAACAUAUACAAUUAUAGUAAAUAAAUUAAAAAAUCAAAGAAAGUAAAUAUGAAACCAUAAAAGAAUUGUGCUGGCAAA